UACGUAGGGUGCAAGCGUUGUUCGGAAUCAUUGAGCGUAAAGCGCGUGUAGGUGGCUAGUUAAGUUGGAUGUGAAAUCCCUGGGCUCAACCGAGGAAGUGCAUUCAAAACUGGCUGGCUAGAGGAUGGUAGAGGAAGGUGGAAUUCCAAGUGUAGAGGUGAAAUUCGUAGAUAUUUGGAGGAAUACCGGCGGCGAAGGCGGCCUUCUGGGCCAUUCCUGACACUGAGACGCGAAAGCGUGGGGAGCAAACAGG
rnacentral:rRNA from 1 species